rnacentral:rRNA from 1 species
AUUGAACGCUGGCGGCAUGCCUUACACAUGCAGGUCGAACGGUAACGCGAGGCAACCUGGCGACGAGUGGCGAACGGGUGAGUAAUGCAUCGGAACGUGCCAGUAGUGGGGGAUAGCCCGGCGAAAGCCGGAUUAAUACCGCAUACGACCUACGGGUGAAAGCGGGGGACCGAAAGGCCUCGCGCUAUUGGAGCGGCCGAUGUCAGAUUAGGUUGUUGGUGGGGUAAAAGCCUACCAAGCCGACGAUCUGUAGCUGGUCUGAGAGGACGACCAGCCACACUGGGACUGCGACACGGCCCAGACUCCUACGGGAGGCAGCAGUGGGGAAUUUUGGACAAUGGGGGCAACCCUGAUCCAGCCAUGCCGCGUGCGGGAAGAAGGCCUUCGGGUUGUAAACCGCUUUUGUCAGGGAAGAAACGCGCUGAGCUAAUACCUCGGCGUAAUGACGGUACCUGAAGAAUAAGCACCGGCUAACUACGUGCCAGCCGCCGCAGUAAUAC